ensembl:piRNA 21ur-14153 ncRNA
UUGUGCUACUUUCCCACAAAU